UACGGAGGGUGCGAGCGUUGUCCGGAAUCACUGGGCGUAAAGGGCGCGUAGGCGGCCGAUCAAGUCAGGGGUGAAAGCCUGUGGCUCAACCACAGAAUUGCCUUUGAUACUGUUUGGCUCGAGACCGGAAGAGGUUGGUGGAACUGCGAGUGUAGAGGUGAAAUUCGUAGAUAUUCGCAAGAACACCAGUGGCGAAGGCGGCCAACUGGUCCGGAUCUGACGCUGAGGCGCGAAAGCGUGGGGAGCAAACAGG
rnacentral:rRNA from 1 species